CCAAUCCAAGUAGGCAGAAUUCAUUCUAAUCCAAGUAUCUAUAAUGGCGACCAUCAAGUCGGUUCCUGUUCUACUACUGUAAGUUCUCUAUGUUUUCUUCAUUGGUCACUCCUCCGCCACUCCUAAAUCUCCACCACCGAUGGUUGGCUGUACUAAUAUAGUCCUCGAAAUGGUCGAUGGCUUGUCUUACGUCUCCACCGGAAGCACCGAUAUGAAACCACAAGGAACUUGUUUUUCAUGUAUCAAAACUGUUUUGUUUUGAAAAACAAUGCUCAGUGUAUUGCUUCGCUUUCAGAAAGAACGCUCAAUUUGGCGUCACUUUGAAUGUUACCAAAGCCAUGACUCGUCUUAAUGCAUACCGUCUCUCUCAUCCACCUCUCAUCAUUUGCGAUCCCUUGCUCCUGAUAGUUCUCUUAGACCAUCAACAUCAUCGGUUAGUGUUGGGGCUCCUAGUCCAAUUUCAGGGGAAAACGAGACCUUUAGGAGGAGAAAACGAGGGUUCUGCUUCUUCCUCUGGAUCAUCCCUACUUGCUAGUUAGCAAAGAAGCAAGUGAAAACUCUUGUGGGAGGAUAAAUGUUACUUGGCUGACCAUCCUGGCUUGGUGCUGGUUUCCACUACAUAGGUUAUGCUAGUUCAAUUGGGAAAUAAUGGGUUGAUUUUGGCCAAGAAUACAAAAAAGAACGUGUUGAUUUCAGGUUCUUCUAUUUCAAUUGAAUUUUACUUUUUUUUUUGUUAUAUAGUUGUUAAUUUGAUAAUUUUACUAUCAUCACAUUCAUUGUUGGAUCAUUGGAUGAGAUUGCUAACAAAAUUAUAGAUCGAUUGGAUUGACAUUAUUGGAUGAGAUUGCUAACCAUUGCUUAUCUUUCUUUCUCACGUGUCUUAUUUUGUUCUUCCCUAGUUUAAAGUAAUAAUGCAGGUGUAAUGGCUCCUCAAUUCACGCUUUCCCAAGACAAUAUUGAACUACAAUUUUCCACCAAUCAUUUAGGUCAUUUCCUAUUGACAAAUGAGGUGUUGGAGAUCAUGAAGAAGACAGUUCGUGAUAGCCAAAGAGAAUGAAGGAUUGUUAAUGUCUCCUCUAAAGGUCAUAUGUUAAUGUACAAGAAUAGAUUCCAUUUUGAUAAUCUCUAAAUGUCACAGAUCGGAGAACAUUGAUGCAUUGGAGACAAUAAAAGGAUUGUUGGAUGCCUUAAUUGUGAAGAUGAAGAUGAGCAUAAUGUUGUUUAGUUUUGGCUAGUGAAACGAAAGCCACGCGAAUUCCCUGUCUACUCGGUACUUUGAGGUUUUUAGCAAGUGUUUGGGAAUUCAACUAAUUUGAUGACUAUGCAGGGAGAUUUUUAAGAAAUAAAUGGAGAGUACAUGCUCAAACUUAUAUUUGAUGUAUUUUAUUUUUAUUUUAUAAAAUUGAGAAAUAAUGUUUCUAUUUUAUAGAAAUAUUAUGUAGGUUUGUUUUAGUAAUAUGAAUAUUUAGUUUUACUAAUAACAAAUCUUGUUUC